rnacentral:lncRNA from 1 species
UGACAACAGCACCACUAGAUAGACAACACCGCUAGAUUAGCAACAGAACAACACCUGCUGAUUAGACACACACCGCUAGAUUAGACCACAGGCACCACCGCUAGAUUAGACCACAGACAACACCGCUAGAUUAGACCACAGGCACCACCACUAGAUUAGACCACAGGCACCACCGCUAGAUUAGACCACAGGCACCACCGCUAGAUUAAGACAACACCGCUAGAUUAGACCACAGGCACCACCACUAGAUAGACCACAGGCCCCACCUAGAUUAGACCCAGGCACACCGCUAGAUUAGACACAGGCACCACCGCUAGAUAGACCACACACACCGCUAGAUUAGACCACAGGCCACCACCACUAGAUUAGACCACAGAACACCGCUAGAUUAGACACGGCAACACCGCUAGAUUGACCACAGGCACACACUAGUAGACCACAGAACCACCGUAGAUUAGACAACACCGCUAGAUUAGACAACAGGCAACACCGCUAGAUUAGACAACAGGCAACACCGCUAGAUUAG